rnacentral:ncRNA from 1 species
AAAAACAAGAGUUUGAUCCUGGCUCAGAACGAAUGCUAGAUAUAUGCUUAACACAUGCAAGUCGAACGUGGCUUGCUUCCCCAUCCAUCCACAUGGGGGCAAAAGGGCAAGAGGAAUGGCCCCCUCCUAGCGCGUGCUCACUCACUCAAAUGAUAUGCAAGUGGUGCGCCGGGCGUGGGGCACAACAAGAAAAGUGGCGAACGGGUGUGUAACGCGUGGGAAUCUGCCGAACAGUUCACUCCAAAUCCUGAAUAAUUCAUAAAGCAAGCUAAUUCGCGCUGUUCGAUGAGCCCUGUUAUCCCCGAUAUCUAGGGAUAACUAGGAGAUCAUGUCUCGAGGCCCACAUGGUCCUAGACAUGGAGUACCGAGAGCAGGAGUGACUUGAGCAUGGCC